AUGCCAAGGAGGAAGAAGAGCCGGCUGGAUCCAGUUGCAGGCGGCAGGCAGAUAGCCAAUAAGGCUCAGGUUGAUGGAACUGAGCAGACAUCGCCACACGCCAUUUGUAAGCUCUAUGAGCACAUCAACGAAGGUCAAUGCGUUGCUGUCAGAGCCAUGGGGACUGGACCGUUCCUGGACAUCAAGUGUGCAUACUUACACAACACCGUCGUGACAUGGUUCACAAGGUUGUACCACUCAGGAAGGAGAGGGUUUGUCGUGCCAGGACAUGGGUUCAUUCCACUGACCGAGGAGUCUGUACAUCAGAUUUUGGGCAUCCCUCAUGGAGACAUUGAGGUCAAGUAUGAAGCCGACUAUGAUAUGGAACAGGAGUUCGCAGCUACUUUGUUUCCGGGCGAUGGCAGCAGGCCAAACAUCACGACAGUUGCUACUGCAAUCAUCAACCAUAGCGAGGCUGAUGAUAGAUUCAAGAAGUUGUGGCUUAUUUACACUGUCUCAACUCUGUUGGCCCCUACGACCGAUGCACGGGUCAGCAACAAGUGCUACCCCAUGCUGGCGGAUAUCAACCGGGCAGACAGGUUGAACUUGUGCAAAUUUGUCGUGGACCAGCUCCACGAGCACCUCUCAAAUGGGAAGUACACAAAUGGGUGCUUACUUUACUGCAUGCUAAGGUACCUCGAUGCUUUGGAUUGUGAUGGCAUGGAGCUUGAGUUAACUAACACACCAUAUAGAGUAAACGCAUGGUCCAAGACCCAGGUUGAUAUUGUCGCUGAGCUGGACAUGUUAGAGCAUGAUCCACCCUGUUUUGGCAAAUUUCAGCUAAAGGAAGAAUUCAGAGAGGAGGCUGCUAGUGGAUCGGGCACAAGCACAUUGGGUCUGUUCGGAGGCCCUGGUGGCUUCGAAACCUGGAUGAAGCAAAACACCCACCCAAGUUGCUCUGAAAAUGACAAGCUUAAAAUACAGGGGAUCAUCCACAAGUUUGCAUCAGGGUUGGAGACCCUCCUUGGUGAUCUCGUACAGGGGAUGACAGCCCCAACAGCAAGUAAUUCAACCAAAAGUAGGAGGGGCAGGCGCAACGAAAUAGAAGAAAAUGAUGAUACAUUGUUUGAAGAUUCAUCAUCAUCAGAAUCUGACGGUGACGCAGAUGGGGACGAUGAUACGUCGUUUGCGUCGUCAUCAGGAUCCCUAGUGCUAACAGAAUGA
rnacentral:rRNA from 1 species